UGGGGAAUAUUGGACAAUGGGCGCAAGCCUGAUCCAGCCAUGCCGCGUGGGUGAAGAAGGCCCUAGGGUUGUAGACCCCUUUCAGCGGGGAAGAUAAUGACGGUACCCGCAGAAGAAGCUCCGGCUAACUCCGUGCCAGCAGCCGCGGUAAUACGGAGGGAGCUAGCGUUGUUCGGAAUUACUGGGCGUAAAGCGCGCGUAGGCGGACUUUCAAGUCAGGGGUGAAAUCCCGAGGCUCAACCUCGGAACUGCCUUUGAUACUGCCGAGCUAGAGUAUGGUAGAGGGAAGUGGAAUUUCCGGUGUAGCGGUGAAAUGCGUAGAUAUCGGAAGGAACACCAGUGGCGAAGGCGACUUCCUGGGCCAAUACUGACGCUGAGGUGCGAAAGCGUGGGGAGCAAACAGGAUUAGAUAC
rnacentral:rRNA from 1 species